rnacentral:rRNA from 1 species
GACGGAGGAUGCAAGCGUUAUCCGGAAUGAUUGGGCGUAAAGCGUCCGCAGGUGGCAGUUCAAGUCUGCUGUCAAAGACCGGGGCUUAACUUCGGAAAGGCAGUGGAAACUGAACAGCUAGAGUAUGGUAGGGGCAGAGGGAAUUCCUGGUGUAGCGGUGAAAUGCGUAGAUAUCUGGAGGAACACCGGUGGCGAAGGCGGCGUUCUGGACUGCAACUGACACUGAGGAACGAAAGCCAGGGGAGCAAACGGG